rnacentral:rRNA from 1 species
UACGUAGGUGGCAAGCGUUGUCCGGAAUUAUUGGGCGUAAAGCGCGCGCAGGCGGUCCUUUAAGUCUGAUGUGAAAGCCCACGGCUCAACCGUGGAGGGUCAUUGGAAACUGGGGGGCUUGAGUGCAGAAGAGGAAAGUGGAAUUCCAAGUGUAGCGGUGAAAUGCGUAGAGAUUUGGAGGAACACCAGUGGCGAAGGCGACUUUCUGGUCUGUAACUGACGCUGAGGCGCGAAAGCGUGGGGAGCAAACAGG